GCUUAGAAUAGAAAAUUGCAGAUUAACAGGUUGAUUAAGUUGGUUAACAUCAGGUUUCACUGACACACCCACACACACACACACACAGGGUAGCUUGCUCAGACAGUCCUCCAGUCACUACUGGAUGGUCCACAGCGACCCGAGGAGCUCCGAUGAUGGUCCGUCCUUCAGCAGCUGUGGGGGCGCUGAGUGAUCGUUCUCUGGCUCAUAUCCUGAGCAUUUGCAGGACGUAUGAGCAGGCAGCAGUAGGUGAUUUAGUCUCACAGGUCGAAGCACAGAGACGGAACAGGCGAAGAGAGAAAUUGCUGUGGAUGACCUCUGUGAUAUUCUUUCUCCUGGCAUUCACUUUCGUCAUGGGAACAGUUGGCAAAGAAGACAAUGAUGCACAAUACUAUGUAAGCCCACAUGAACUCACACACUCAUUUACAACAAGACAACAAAAAAAGAGUCUCUCCUUCUCUUUCUUCUAGGAUGCUGAUGUCUUUUUUCCGUCCAAAGCUUUGUGGUUAUUUGGAUGUCUGCUGUUCUGGACGGUUUGGUCGGUCCUGCGUCUCCUCCAGAUGUUCCUCUGGUUGAUCAAACUCUUGCUCUGGUUCAUCUCUGUUUCUACAUCCCCUCUGUGUUGCUGUGCAUCGUUUCUUCUGACCUGCGUUAUAUUGCUGCUACAUUAUACAUGUCAUGCUGUGUUUUUCGCAACCACCAUUCAUGUGUAUGUUUAUGGCACGUUUCUCUUGGUUGGCGUUUUACUGCUUAUUUACAACAGGUGAAAGUCAAAG